rnacentral:tRNA from 1 species
GGGCGCGUGGUCUAACGGUAUGACGCAUCCUUCGCAAGGAUGAGGCUCCGGGUUCGAUUCCCGGCGCGUCCA